rnacentral:rRNA from 1 species
CCCAGACUCCUACGGGAGGCAGCAGUGGGGAAUAUUGGGCAAUGGGCGCAAGCCUGACCCAGCAACGCCGCGUGAAGGAAGAAGGCUUUCGGGUUGUAAACUUCUUUUCUCAGGGACGAAGCAAGUGACGGUACCUGAGGAAUAAGCCACGGCUAACUACGUGCCAGCAGCCGCGGUAAUACGUAGGUGGCAAGCGUUAUCCGGAUUUACUGGGUGUAAAGGGCGUGUAGGCGGGAAAGCAAGUCAGAUGUGAAAACCAUGGGCUCAACCUGUGGCCUGCAUUUGAAACUGUACGGCUAGAGUACGGGAGGGGCAGGCGGAAUUCCUAGUGUAGCGGUGAAAUGCGUAGAUAUUAGGAGGAACACCGGCGGCGAAGGCGGCCUGCUGGACCGAAACUGACGUUGAGGCUCGAAAGCGUGGGGAGCAGACAGGAUUAGAUACCCCUGUAA